rnacentral:misc_RNA from 1 species
UUUAGUUAUCUGUCAACGGCACUUGACAAUACUUAUCUGUUCAUUUUAAUAUACAAAGGAUACCGCACUAACGUACGCUUUCCGAAAAUCUAACAGUCCUUAGAAUAUAGUGUAUUGCUCGGCAAUGUACCUACUGUGCCGUGAACAGUGGUUGCAGGUCACGUAGAUCAGGACGUCACGCGCGGGUCCCCUUCACAGCGACGCAGGCGGCCGCGCUGGAGGCCGCAUACUCUCGCGCUGCGUACCUCGCACCACCGGCACUGAGGGCUCUCGCUGCGGCCUUACAGCUACGAGACGACAGGAUUAAAAUCUGGUUCCAAAAUCGUCGUGCUCGUGAACGCAGAGAGAAGUGUGCGAACAUUAGGCCACCAGUCGCUGUCACACUACCACCUACGUCUACAUCUCGAACCGGCCUUAUGAACAAUUCGGUAUGGUUUCAACAACAUAACUUUGGAGUAUCCUCAACGAAAGCUUUAAUGAUGGUACAAAAUGAGGCAAAUGUAACUAGAAAUAUAAUUAUAGAAGCAAAUGGAAUAUUAACGUGUGGAACAGACUCGGAGUCUUUUGGCGAAAUUGAAAAAUCGGAAUCUCCAUUAGAUGUCGAAACUGUGGAACAUUGAGAUGAUAACUAUUCGUGUGCUGAUGUGAACUAGAAUAAUAUGAACAUUGAGUGACCUAUUAGUAUGUAUAACCACUUUUGUCUGUGAAUUAAUAUGGGCACGACAGGGUACGAUAGUAUUUAUAAACAAAAAAGAAACAUUACCUCAUAAUGUAUUUUAGUAGUAAAAAUUUAGACUAAAUGUAUAAUUUAAAGAUGUUUGUUCUUAGAAAUAAACGAUUAAAUCCUGUGAUAUAUAGAAUGAAGUGUUUUUUGUGUAA